rnacentral:lncRNA from 1 species
AUGCUUUUACAACUCAUGAUACAGCCCCGACAGAAACUAAAGUGAACUAGAAAGUUGGAAAUGCUUAUGCUUAUAAAGGUAUUCAUAUUGCUAAUUUGAUAUUCCAAACUGCUUAUAUAUAACUUUCUAAUUACGUCUAGCAACCAAGUGCGUAUAUCUUAAAAACAUCUCUAGAUUAACAAGUACGCAAAUAUGUUAAAUUUCAAAGAUCAUAAGCCAUGUUACAAAUCAAUAAAGCUUAAAGCUAGCUCACCUGAAUUGAAGUAAGUAUCGCAGCAACAUCAUAAAUUGGACUCCACUGAUUUUGAAGGAUGUCCAAGCAUAUGCUCCCAUCUGC